GUCUACAGCCAUGCCACCCUGAACAAGCUCUAUCCCGUCUGAUCUCAGAAGCUAAGCAGAGUCGGGCAUGGUUAGUACUUGGAUGGGAGGGAGAUCACCUAGGAAGACCAAGUGCUGUAGGCG
rnacentral:rRNA from 1 species